rnacentral:rRNA from 1 species
AUUGAACGCUAGCGGGAUGCCUUACACAUGCAAGUCGAACGAGUGGCGAACGGUGAGUAAUGUAUCGGAAACUGCACGAUGGAGGGGGAUAACUACUGGAAACGGUAGCUAAUACCGCAUACCAUCGGAUGUGCCCAGAUGGGAUUAGCUAGUAGGUGGGGUAACGGCUCACCUAGGCGACGAUCCCUAGCUGGUCUGCGAGGAUGACCAGCGACCCUGGAACUGAGACACGGUCCAGACUCCUACGGGAGGCAGCAGUGGGGAAUAUUGCGCAAUGGGCGCAAGCCUGAUGCAGCCAUGCCGCGUGUAUGAAGAAGGCCUUCGGGUUGUAAAGUACUUGCAGCGAGGAGGCGUUACUCGCAGAAGAAGCACCGGCUAACUCCGUGCCAGCAGCCGCGGUAAUUC